AACGAGCGCAACCCUCGCCUUUAGUUGCCAUCAUUUAGUUGGGCACUCUAAAGGGACUGCCAGUGAUAAGCUGGAGGAAGGUGGGGAUGACGUCAAGUCCUCAUGGCCCUUACGGGCUGGGCUACACACGUGCUACAAUGGUGGUGACAGUGGGCAGCAAGCACGCGAGUGUGAGCUAAUCUCCAAAAGCCAUCUCAGUUCGGAUUGCACUCUGCAACUCGAGUGCAUGAAGUUGGAAUCGCUAGUAAUCGCGGAUCAGCAUGCCGCGGUGAAUACGUUCCCGGGCCUUGUACACACCGCCCGUCACACCAUGGGAGUUGGUUCUGCCCGAAGGCACUGUGCUAACCGUAAGGAGGCAGGUGACCACGGUAGGGUCAGCGACUGGGGUGAAGUCGUAACAAGGUAGCCGUAGGGGAACCUGCGGCUGGAUCACCUCCUUUCUAAG
rnacentral:rRNA from 1 species